UGGCUUUGCCAGGGGCAGGGGCUGUUACUCACACCCGCUGGUCUGGGUUCAGAUCAGUUCUGUUCUCUGGUCUCCCAAGGCCCUUGAUUUAUAGGGUCCCCGCCGACGGAAGCUUUCCCCCUGUUAGCGGGUCUCCACUGAAUCAGCGGCAGGAGUCCUGGAUGAACCCCUGGUCGUGCAGCCCCUACCCCGCUCCUUCCCGACCCGUGCGGCAGCGAUCGCAGACUCUAGGGGAGGGGGCGAUGUUCUCUCCUACCCUUCCGGCGCCUCCGAAGGUGUCUUCCAGAUUGGGGAUUUGUCUUCACCAAGCUGCUGGAGAGUCCUGCCUCUCAGUCCCCCAGUACACAGUUGUAUAACCUAGUUGUAGGUCCUUCUGGUUCUUCUAUGUGGGACACCGCCUAAGCAUGCCUUGAUGAGUAGCACUAGGUCCGCACCCGGGAUCAGAACUUGUGAAACC
rnacentral:lncRNA from 1 species